UCCGGUAUGGUCUAGUGGCUAGGGUACCUGGCUCUCACCCAGGAGGCUCGAGUUCGUUUCCCUAUACCGGAA